GAUGAACGCUGGCGGCGUGCUUAACACAUGCAAGUCGAACGGAAAGGCCCUGCUUGCACUGUACUCGAGUUGCCAACGGGUGGGUGACACAUGGGUGAACUGCCUUCCUCUUCGGGUUAAGCCUGUUAAACUGGGUCUAACACCGGAUAGAAGCUAUUUUGAAUGUGAUGGUUGAAUAGUUUAUUCCGUUUAGGGUGAGCUCGCUGGCUAUCUGCUUGUUGGUGUGGUUAUGGCCUACCGAGGCGGCUACGCGUAGCCGGCCUGCGUGGGUGGCCGGCCACAUUGGGACUGAGAUACGGCCCAGACUCCGACGGGAGGCAGCAGUGGGGAAUCUUGAACAAUGGGCGCAAGCCUGAUGCAGAGAGGCCGCGGGGGGGAUGACGGCCUUCGGGUUGUAAACUACUUUCGCUAGGGACGAAGCUUUUUGUGACGGUACCUAGACAAGAAGCCCCGGCUAACUACGUG
rnacentral:rRNA from 1 species